UACGUAGGGUGCAAGCGUUAAUCGGAAUUACUGGGCGUAAAGCGCGCGUAGGCGGCUUUGCAAGUCGGGUGUGAAAUCCCCAGGCUUAACCUGGGAACUGCAUUCGAGACUGCAUUGCUAGAGUAUGGGAGAGGGAAGUGGAAUUUCCGGUGUAGCGGUGAAAUGCGUAGAUAUCGGAAGGAACACCGGUGGCGAAGGCGGUUCUCUGGGCCUGUACUGACGCUGAGGAGCGAAAGCGUGGGGGAGCGAACAGG
rnacentral:rRNA from 1 species